AUAAUAAGAAGGCAGUGAAGAACGAGAGAGAGAGACGACCAGUUCAGGCGCUCCCUUUCCUCAAGGCUUAUCUAGAUCUUCCCCAAAGACCAAAAGCCUUUGUGUAUAAGCUAAGCAAAACACUGGAACCCACUUUGCUUCUCCAUUCCUUAUGACCCCUCCAUUUAUUUUUGUAUAAAUACCGGAACCUAGUUCUCCACAAUUUCUCACUUUUCUUUCUUGUUCAUAUGUUGUUUUACAGUUGAUUCUCAUUUAUCAUGAGCAACGUUCCAAGGUCUUUAACAGACUCCUCUUUAACCCUUUUCAAGCUCGCCAUUUCUGCUUCUGAUCCCUGGCCUUUCUCUCUUGUUUUCUUAUAACCUUAAUUUCGAGAAACCAAAGCUCUCCUGUUUUUAACAAGAACUAUAAGGUUUUUUCUUUUCCUUGUUUCUUCUUGCUUAAUUUGGGGGUAGUUUGCUGAAGAAAAAUUAUGAGAAGUGGAGACAAACACCACGUGAAUUUCCACCUUCAUAUGCCGCACCUUCACAGCUUUCAUCACCAUGAAAAGAAGGACCUGAAAGAUAUUCCAAAGGGGUGUCUGGCAAUCCUGGUAGGUCAAGGGGAGGAGCAACAAAGGUUUGUGAUCCCAGUGAUCUAUAUCAACCACCCGCUCUUCAUGCAGCUUUUGAAGGAAGCCGAGGAAGAGUACGGAUUCGAUCAGAAGGGCCCCAUCACCAUCCCUUGCCACGUGGAGGAGUUCCGCAAUGUUCAAGGCAUGAUCGAUAAAGAACAGCACCAGCAUCAUCACCAUCACCACUACCAUCACAACCACCACCACGACCAUCACAACCACCACCACGUCUGGUGUUUUAGGGUGUGAAUUUGACCGAUUCUGAAAAGUCAUGUAAAUUUGUUUUUAAGUUUCUCUAGUUUUUGCUUUUUCUUUUCCAUUCUGGCAUUGCAGAGAUCUUGCUUUGUAGAUGAUGGCGACAAAAAAGAAAGAUGAAUGACAAGAUUCUUCCCACAUAAAUUUCACUAAUUUGGUUUACUUUGCUUUUGUUGUUUUUGCUUUCCAACUUUCUUGCUAAUGUGAACGCAUCAAAAAGCAUGGAAUCGUUACGUUAUGGAGGGUGUAAAAACUGAGAACAACGUAAAGUUGCAGACGUACAAGACACGGUGGGAACUUGGAAUGGGGCAAAGGGUUUUCUUUGUGGCCGUUGGAUUUGUUUUGCUUUUGGAUCGUUUUGAUUAUGGUGGGUAUAGCUUGCCCCAGAAAUUUCAAACCUUUCAGGUUUCGGAGGCUGGGAUAUUUCUGCGGUUUCAUCUAUAUUAGCACAAAAAUACAAAAGGGAAAUUGUUUGUUUGAAGACUUGUCGUGCGUUUGGAAAUCUGUCAAUUAAGUAGUACAACUAUGUUAUCUUCUUUUAUUUUAUGUAAACAAGUGGGAAAAUUCAUUAAUUUAUAUCAAGAAAAAGUGACAUUUAACUAUUA